rnacentral:misc_RNA from 1 species
GAUGAAGAACGUAGCGAAAUGCGAUAAGUAAUGCGAAUUGCAGAAUCCGUGAGUCAUCGAAUCUUUGAACGCACAUUGCGCCCUUUGGUAUUCCGAAGGGCAUGCCUGUUCGAGCGUCAUUAUCACCCCUCAAGCCCGGCUUGGUGUUGGACGUCUAGCCAGUCUCUUAGGAGCCGGCUCGCCCCAAAGAUAAUGACGGUGGUCUGUGAAGUCACCAGUACGACGAGCCCCUGGGCAUGUACUGUUCUCGAGUUCCAGCGCCGGUCUCGCUCACGACGUGAGCACUUUUUUUCUGAAAGGUUGACCUCGGAUCAGGUAGGGAUACCCGCUGAACUUAAGCAUAUCAAUAAGCGGAGGA